ensembl:lncRNA
CAUGUGUUGGGCAAUGUUGACAAUCUCAUCAAAGAUGACAAUUCCACCGCACUUCAUUUUUUUCUGCUUCUUACUGUCUCUCGGUGGCUCCUUGAGGGCUUUGAUGAUCAGGGCAGAGGUAGAAGGUACCACCUCAGUCUGAGCCUGUCGGUUCUAGAUGGUCAGUUUCACUGUAAUCCUCAGACCUUCCAAUCACCUACUGCCUUGGCGAUGUCAUCAUCAGCCUUUUUUGGAGACAGACCCAGGGGGCCAAUCUAGGGGGCCAGGGCACACAUGGCACCGACUUCCCCACGGUGCACCUCAGGAAUCAACCCUUCCACAGCAAAACCACAAGGAUGCGGCGGGACCUGCCGUGUUUCUACAAUACGACCCUGGCUCCUGUCACUCGAUUGGUCCAGGGACAGGCACCUGACCCAUAUUUGGACAAUAAUUUUCUCCUUGGGAAUUUUGAAGAGAUAGAGAUGAGAGAAAAAGAGCUGUCUUAACUCCUCUCCAGCUGAUUGGUCCAAUAACAUACAACGCUUGGGUGCUCUUGGCAGCCAUGUUUCCCUCACUGUGCAGAAGCCAAAAGCAGAAGAAGCUGGUCGGAUGAGAGAGAAAGAAAGAUGAGGAGACUCCCGGUGGCAUCUGAAUUUCUGGUUCCACUCCAUUCCUGAGGCCAGGCUAUAAUCUAGUUCCUGGUCUCUGAGACAUGUCCCUGUAGUGUUGUAAUUAAGUUUCCCUUUCUUGCUUAAACUAGUUUAGGUAGAUUUUUUGUUAUUUACAACCCAAAGAGCUAAGGAAUAGUAUGAACUUUCUUACCAGAUGCAUUUGUUCAUUCAAGAAAUAUUUUUGGAGCAACUGCUAUGUUCCAGGUAUGUGCAAGGUGCUGGAAAUUCAAUGAUGAUCAGGAUAGACGUGGUAUCUAUCCUCAGGGACUUUGUACUAGAUGGGUAAAAGGCCAGGGCAGGGCAGACAUGGAACAAAUGUUUGAUAUAUACGAAGAUAGAACAGAUUUAUGAGAACAUAGAACAAGGUUAUGAGAACUGACAAGCUGAAGACUGAAGGACUGGCCAGGAAGUGGUGGAAGGAGGUAGGAAUUAGGCCGUGGAGGAGGGAGAGCAUCCCAGGCAAGAGAAGAGUGUGCGCGAUGAUAACGCCAUCGUGAAGCCAGCAUCCUCUGGAGAGAAAGCAACACUUCAGGUGGAGCUCCAGCAGUAAUUUUUCAUCCAUGAGGUGAUCUUAAGGAUUGAAGUCACAUGCUAAGGAUGGCAGAGCAGAAGACAGAAGGCGCCCAGCUUCUAGGAUCUUGCAAAGUCCCCAUAUCAGCCUGGUCUGCCUGAAGACAGUUUACCAUGUUGUGUGUUCCAGAGCAGCCUGGGCUGCUGGCCUCCUGGGAGGUGGGAGGCGUUCCUGCUCCGGCUCUGACCUGGGACCUGCACCCUCUCCCUGGAUGCCUGAGGCCUUCCAGGGACCCCUAAAACCUGACAGUUUGGGCCAGCAAUUGGCAAACUGGCAAGUGCCGGGUCCCAGUGAGGCCCCUGGUUUCCUCCCCAAAUAGGAAGUAAAUGGGCAUUUUGUGUCCCCACUCAGGCAGAGCCUCUGGAUGGCCUCCCCCCACCGGUGCUUCCCCGACUCCCAGGGCUCUGGCAUAAAUCGGAGCCAUUUCCUUCUCCGGUUUCCCACCUGUGACUAGCCUUUGUCUAAUUUCACCACUGUGGGGACCAGGGGAGGGUUCCUUGGACAAUAAAUCUUUCAUCGGGAAGGUGGUUUUAUCAUUUGAAAGGAUGAUGUUAAAGAAAGAGAGGACAUAAGUGACUAAUGUGCUCAGGGGAUGGUGAAAAGGAAGAGCUCAGGGUGACCAGAAAGGGGUCAGGCUGGUAUGGCAGAGCAGGGCUGAGGAGGAGCGGGUGGAGAGAAUCAGGGAGGCACAUCAGGAAUGCCAGUCCGACACCUGACUGCAGAAAAGGGGCAAAGAGCUUCCUGGUUAGAAGAGAAACCAGGACCCGUGGUGUGGCUCCCUCUCCUCUCCAGAGCACAGGCUGUGGUCUGCUUUGACGUCAGCUCCCGGAUGCACCCAGGUUAUUGGACACGUUGCUUUCAGAUCUGGGCCAGCUGGGGAGGGAAGGGGCAGUGGGGGCAGCCCUCUCACUGAAGGAUGCCCAGAGGUACCUGGUGUGGAACAUCUGCAGGGUGAGCCAAGAUCAUCCUCCAGCCUUCAUCCCUUCAGGGAUGUUUCCCAACCCAGGCUCCCACUCCUGGCUCGUUUCUGAGACGGCAUCGGCAUUCCCAGGGCACUGAUGGCCAAAGCCACCAGGGGGCUGCCACAUGGAAUGGUGUUGGUAUCCCAGGUCACCCUCACUCUGGCUGAUCGGGCCCUAGAAGCAGAGGAAAUCCAAGAAAACCCUCGCUGGAGCCUAUGGACUCUACUGUCUCCCAGCCACCACUAUCUUUGGGACCAUCCUGCUCCAAAUGGUUGACAAUACUUG